AAAGUCGUAACAAGGUUUCCGUAGGUGAACCUGCGGAAGGAUCAUUAACAAAUUCAAAACUCGUCCGUAAGUUGAGUUGGCGAGGACCUGCUUGGAGCAAUCUGAGUGGGCCUCAUCUGGCUUGGCUUAUUGGUACAAACAUUUACAUUCAUGAUUGACAACUAAUGGAGAACCAAUGAUAAAAAUAGUAAACAACUUUUAACAAUGGAUCUCUCGGCUCUU
rnacentral:misc_RNA from 1 species